rnacentral:ribozyme from 11 species
CACACACAGAGAGAGAGAGAGAGAGAGAGAGAGAGAGAGAGUGACGAAAUGUGUGUGGGUACAUCGAUGACUCGUUUCAUUCUUUCGAUUCCCUUUCCUCGUCUGUUUACUUUUCUUUUUAAUCGCUUUCUUCUUUUAUUCCACU